rnacentral:rRNA from 1 species
UGGGGAAUCUUGCGCAAUGGGGGAAACCCUGACGCAGCAACGCCGUGUGAGCGAUGAAGGCCUUCGGGUCGUAAAGCUCUGUUAGGUGGAAAGAAAUUUUUUCGAUUCAACAAAUCGAAAAAUUGACGGUACUAUCAGAGGAAGCACCGGCAAACUCCGUGCCAGCAGCCGCGGUAAUACGGAGGGUGCAAGCGUUGUUCGGAAUUAUUGGGCGUAAAGAGCGUGUAGGUGGUUAGAUAAGUCAGAUGUGAAAUCCCUUGGCUCAACCAAGGAAGUGCAUCUGAAACUGUUUAGCUUGAGUACGGGAAGGGAAUGGCGGAAUUCCCAAUGUAGAGGUGAAAUUCAUAGAUAUUGGGAGGAACACCGGUGGCGAAGGCGGCCUUCUAGCCCGAUACUGACACUGAGACGCGAAAGCGUGGGGAGCAAACAGGAUUAGAUACCCUGGUAGUCCACGCCGUAAACGAUGGGCACUAGGUGUAGGAGGUUUUAUCCCUUCAGUGCCGAAGCUAACGCAUUAAGUGCCCCGCCUGGGGAGUACGGUCGCAAGGCUA